GAUGAACGUUGGCGGUGUGCCUAAUACAUGCAAGUCGAACGGGGAGUACAAAGUAGUAAUACCUUGUGCUCUCAGUGGCGAACGGGUGAGUAACGCGUUGGUGACCUGCCCCGAAGUGUGGAAUAACAGUUCGAAAGAAUUGCUAAUACCGCAUAUGAUCAUUUAGCUUGAAUACUUUUUGAUCAAAGGAUUUAUUCGCUUCGGGAGGGGCCUGCGUCCCAUCAGCUAGUUGGUAAGGUAAUGGCUUACCAAGGCGAUGACGGGUAGGGGACCUGAGAGGGUGGCCCCCCACAAUGGAACUGAAACACGGUCCAUACACCUACGGGAGGCUG
rnacentral:rRNA from 1 species